GUGCUUUGUAAAAGGGACUAUUCCUUCAUCUCGGGGAAAUUUUGCAUCAUGGCUCCCCUUUCUGCUUUUCACGGGCAUCGUCUGCCCUCUCCAUGAGACGAACUUCCGAAGCCCCCUCGCUCUCGGCUCGGAGUCCGAACACGAAUGAGUUUGGGGAUUUCGGAGACCCUGUCCCGCUUCUAGCUGAAUUGGGGUGUCCCCUGACUAGAGCACACUUGGGCAAACUUCUCCAUACACGGACCAGGAACGCAGCCCCCGAGAAAGAAUUCUUCACGGCCGCUGCCCCCAGCUUUCGAGACUGCGCCUCUUGUUCCCCAGAAAACCUCGUUUGGGAUAAUGUCUCGCCAUUCCCACCUCACCAUCCCCAGUUCUGAAUCUUCCUUAGGCGAAGGUCAUCUCCGAGAAUGCGACUUCGGUGUUGACGUCAUUUUAGCUGCCGCAUCACUUCCACGGUGCACCUCUUGUCUGUCCCAGAGGAUGGCAGCGAUUUAAGAGUUGUCUCCCUGGCCACAAGCCCCUGGCUCCCACCCCAUGAUGGCUUCUCCAGCUUUGUUUUUUUCUUUAAUAGAUGAAGAAAGAGAGUUUAUCCUGACAGAACAGAGAGAUCUCUGGAACGAGUGAUGGAAGGGCCCUAAGAACAGACAUUUCCUUCUUAAAUCCAAGUGAAACAGCUGUGGCAGCAGUCAAGAAAGCUUGAGCAGCCCAUGUUUGAGAGAGGAACCCCUGCACAGCCUUAGAGAAGACCUUGAAGAGACGAUGUCAGAGAAGGAGGUUUGUGAGGACCCAGUUAAAGGAAGCAGUUUACGGCUUCUCUUUGGCGUAUCCAAAUUGUCAGCAUCAUUACUCUUGCACUUUGAGGCCGUUAUUAAAUAAAAUAAGGGUGACUUGAACACCAGCACUGUGACACCACGACAGAAGAUCUGAGAACCCAGACAGCUACUAAGGAACUAACAGGCGGGUAGCGUAUACAGUGUGGAUCCAAUGGACAAGAG
rnacentral:lncRNA from 1 species